rnacentral:lncRNA from 1 species
GCCUGAUGAUCAAUCCAAUCCAAGUACUUGCUAAUUGGAUCAUCUAAUCUCCUCACAUAUCAUAUAUACAAAAAUUUAGAUCAAAUCUAAAUUAUAUCAGAUCUGAUUUUUAUAUUAGAUCAUAUCUAAAAUUAUAUCAUAACACAAUUCUUCAUGAUGCUCGACAGCCGCAUACAUAUUCGACCUCUAUAGGUAUCCACACGAAGCCCAUGUGCUGAUCGAUGACCCCGAAAGUACUAGCUUGCGAAGACA